UACGUAGGGUGCAAGCGUUAAUCGGAAUUACUGGGCGUAAAGCGUGCGCAGGCGGUUCGCCGUGUCCGAUGUGAAAGCCCCGGGCUUAACCUGGGAAUGGCAUUGGAAACUGGCGGGCUUGAGUGUGGCAGAGGGGGGUGGAAUUCCACGUGUAGCAGUGAAAUGCGUAGAUAUGCGGAGGAACACCGAUGGCGAAGGCAGUCCCCUGGGACGGUACUGACGCUGAGACGCGAAAGCGUGGGGAGCGAACAGG
rnacentral:rRNA from 1 species